UACGGAGGAUCCGAGCGUUAUCCGGAUUUAUUGGGUUUAAAGGGUGCGUAGGUGGUUUUUUAAGUCAGGGGUGAAAGACGGCAGCUUAACUGUCGCAGUGCCUUUGAUACUGAAGAACUUGAAUGAACUAGAGGUAGGCGGAAUGUGACAAGUAGCGGUGAAAUGCAUAGAUAUGUCACAGAACACCGAUUGCGAAGGCGGCCCUCUGGACGGAUACUGACGCUGAGGCGCGAAAGCGUGGGGAUCAAACAGG
rnacentral:rRNA from 1 species